rnacentral:rRNA from 1 species
GCUUGUCUCAAAGAUUAAGCCAUGCAUGUCUAAGUAUAAACGAUUUUAUACGUGAAACUGCGAAUGGCUCAUUAAAUCAGUUAUCGUUUAUUUGAUGGUCCCUUACUACAUGGAUAACCGUAGUAAUUCUAGAGCUAAUACAUGCAUCAAACCCCGACUUCUGGAAGGGGUGUAUUUAUUAGAUGGAAACCAAUGCAGGGCAACCUGGAAUAUGGUGAUUCAUAAUAACUCGCGGAUCGGUUUACCGAUGCAUCAUUCAAGUUUCUGCCCUAUCAGCUUUGGAUGGUAGGGUAUUGGCCUACCAUGGCUUUAACGGGUAACGGAGAAUUAGGGUUCGAUUCCGGAGAGGGAGCCUGAGAAAUGGCUACCACAUCCAAGGAAGGCAGCAGG